GAUGAACGCUGGCGGCGUGCUUAACACAUGCAAGUCGAACGAUGAAGCCCAGCUUGCGGGGUGGAUUAGUGGCGAACGGGUGAGUAACAAGUGAGUAACUUGCCCUCAACUCUGGGAUAAGCCAGGGAGAGAGGGUGUAAUACAUGAUAGGAGAGACUACCGCAUGGAGGGUGCUGGAGAGAUUUAUGGGUUUUGGCUGGACUCGCGGCGUAUCAGCUUGGUGGUGGGGGAAUGGCAAACCAAGGCGACGACGGGUAGACGGCCCGGGAGGGUGACCGGCCACCCUGGGCCUGCGAGACGGCCCAGACUCCUACGGGCGGCAGCAGUGGGGAAUAUUGCACAAUGGGCGCAAGCCUGAUGCAGCGACCCCGCGUGCGGGAUGCCGUCCUUCUGGUUGUAAACCUCUUUCAGUAGGGAAGAAGCGGUCGUGACGGUACCUGCAGAAGAAGCACCGGCUAACUACGUG
rnacentral:rRNA from 1 species